AAUAUACUAAUAUUAUAAUACAUUGUAUAUACAUGUAAUAUUAAUAAUAAUAUUAUGAUGUAAUACAAUGUAAUAAUUAUAAUUCACUAUUAUAAUUGUAUAUUUAUAUUACAUGCAAUAUUACUAAUAAUAUUGCGAUAUAGUUGUAUAAUAUAAUAUAUUGUAUGUAUAUAUACUUGUAAACCGCCCUGAGUCCCCUUCGGAGUGAGAAGGGCGGUAUAUAAAUGUCGCAAAUAAAUAAAUAAAUAAAUAUAAAUGAUUGUUUUUAUUGAUGUUGAUGUUUUUUACUGGGAUAAUUGUUUUAUUGCUUUGUUACUGUUAUUUGUUUUAUCGGGCCAGGCCCCAUGUAAGCCGCCCCGAGUCCCUUUGGGGAGAUGGGGCGGGGUAUAAAAAUAAAGUUAUUAUUAUUAUUAUAUAGCAAAUAAAGAAAUAAAUAAAAUAUCACGAUGUAUUGAAAACAUCGACUACAAAAAUGCGUUGGAUAAUCCAGAACGUUGGAUAAGCGAGUCUUGGAUAAGUGAGACUCUACUGUAUUUCUAAAAUCUAUAGAAAAGACAGCUGUUAUAGAACUCUGGUAUGCUGAUGACAAUGUAGUCUAUGCGCAUUCAGAAGACCUACUAGCCAAUCCUUCUGCAAUAUUAUUAUUAUUAUUAAGUAAAUGGGUUCCUGGUUAUGCACAAAAGUUAAUUGAAAUUGAAAAGUUUAAUUGAAACUUAAAAAUCUUAAAUUAUGUUAUAGCCACUGUUUGUUCCUUUUAUUUAGACCCACUCUAGAAAAAAAGAGAAGAAGACAUAAAAACACAACUAGAAAGAGGAGCAUAAAGGGUAUACAUAUGAAUGUACUAUUAUUAAUUCACUUGAAGAAGACCUAGUCGAAACCGGUCGUGAUCUACUGUGACCUACUUGCUCUUCAGCACAAUGAACUGAUGGAAUAAGUGAACAAUUAUAUAUAGAACAUAUAUUGUUGAGUUACAGUCAUUUUUGAUGUAUGGAUUAUGUUUAUUACAAUUGUGAAUUCUGAA